rnacentral:rRNA from 1 species
UGGAGGGGGAUAACUACUGGAAACGGUAGCUAAUACCGCAUAACGUCGCAAGACCAAAGAGGGGGACCUUCGGGCCUCUUGCCAUCGGAUGUGCCCAGAUGGGAUUAGCUUGUAGGUGAGGUAACGGCUCACCUAGGCGACGAUCCCUAGCUGGUCUGAGAGGAUGACCAGCCACACUGGAACUGAGACACGGUCCAGACUCCUACGGGAGGCAGCAGUGGGGAAUAUUGCACAAUGGGCGCAAGCCUGAUGCAGCCAUGCCGCGUGUAUGAAGAAGGCCUUCGGGUUGUAAAGUACUUUCAGCGGGGAGGAAGGGAGUGAGGUUAAUAACCUCAUUCAUUGACGUUACCCGCAGAAGAAGCACCGGCUAACUCCGUGCCAGCAGCCGCGGUAAUACGGAGGGUGCGAGCGUUAAUCGGAAUUACUGGGCGUAAAGCGCACGCAGGCGGUCUGUCAAGUCGGAUGUGAAAUCCCCGGGCUCAACCUGGGAACUGCAUUCGAAACUGGCAGGCUGGAGUCUUGUAGAGGGGGGUAGAAUUCCAGGUGUAGCGGUGAAAUGCGUAGAGAUCUGGAGGAAUACCGGUGGCGAAGGCGGCCCCCUGGACAAAGACUGACGCUCAGGUGCGAAAGCGUGGGGAGCAAACAGGAUUAGAUACCCUGGUAGUCCACGCUGUAAACGAUGUCGACUUGGAGGUUGUUCCCUUGAGGAGUGGCUUCCGGAGC